UACGUAGGGUGCAAGCGUUGUCCGGGGUUAUUGGGCGUAAAGCGCGCGCAGGCGGCUUCGCGCGUCCGACGUGAAAGCCCCCGGCUUAACCGGGGAGGGUCGUUGGGUACGGCGGAGCUUGAGGGCGGGAGAGGGUGGUGGAAUUCCCGGUGUAGUGGUGAAAUGCGUAGAGAUCGGGAGGAACACCUAUGGCGAAGGCGGCCACCUGGGCCGACCCUGACGCUGAGGCGCGAAAGCAUGGGGAGCGAACAGG
rnacentral:rRNA from 1 species